AAUCAACGCUGGCGGCGUGCCUAACACAUGCAAGUCGCACGAGAAAGGGGAGCAAUCCCUGAGUAAAGUGGCGCACGGGUGAGUAACACGUGAAUCAUCUACCUCCGAGUGGGGAAUAACUGAGAGAAAUCUUAGCUAAUACCGCAUAACACUUACGAGUCAAAGCAGCAAUGCGCUUGGAGAGGAGUUCGCGGCCGAUUAGUUAGUUGGCGGGGUAAUGGCCCACCAAGACGAUGAUCGGUAUCCGGCCUGAGAGGGCGCACGGACACACUGGAACUGAAACACGGUCCAGACUCCUACGGGAGGCAGCAGUGGGGAAUUUUGCGCAAGUGGGGGAAACCCUGACGCAGCAACGCCGCGUGGAGGAUGAAGUAUCUUGGUACGUAACU
rnacentral:rRNA from 1 species